AGUGAACGCUGGCGGUAGGCCUAACACAUGCAAGUCGAACGGCAGCACAGUAAGCGCUUGCUCUUACGGGUGGCGAGUGGCGGACGGGUGAGGAAUACAUCGGAAUCUACUUUUUCGUGGGGGAUAACGUAGGGAAACUUACGCUAAUACCGCAUACGACCUACGGGUGAAAGCAGGGGAUCUUCGGACCUUGCGCGAUUGAAUGAGCCGAUGUCGGAUUAGCUAGUUGGCUGGGUAAAGGCCCACCAAGGCGACGAUCCGUAGCUGGUCUGAGAGGAUGAUCAGCCACACUGGAACUGAGACACGGUCCAGACUCCUACGGGAGGCAGCAGUGGGGAAUAUUGGGCAAUGGGCGCAAGCCUGAUCCAGCAAUACCGCGUGAGUGAAGAAGGCCUUCGGGUUGUAAAGCCCUUUUGUUGGGAAAGAAAAGCAGCAGGUUAAUACCCCGCUGUUCUGACGGUACCCAAAGAAUAAGCACCGGCUAACUUCGUG
rnacentral:rRNA from 1 species